rnacentral:tRNA from 1 species
AGUUAAUUAGCUUAUAAUUAAAGCAUUUAUUUUGAAAGUAAAGAAAAGAAAAUAAUAAUCUAUUAACUU